GUUCUAUUGUAAUAUAUUUUAGAUUUAACCUGCCCAAUGAUUAAAUUAAAUGGCCGCAGUAUCUUAACUGUGCAAAGGUAGCAUAAUCAUUUGUCUUUUAAUUGGAGACUUGUAUGAAUGGUUGGACGAGGUAUUAACUUUCUUUUUUUAAAUUAAUUAAACUUAAUUUUUAAGUUAAAAAGCUUAAAUAAUUUUGUAGGACGAGAAGACCCUAUAGAAUUUUAUUGAUUAUUAAAAUUGUAUUUAAAAGUUAAUAAAAGUAUAAUUUAAAUAGUCAAUUUUGUUGGGGUGACAAGGAAAUUUUACUAACUUUCUUUUUUAAUAAAGCAUUAAUUAAUGUAUUUGAAGAUCCUAUAUUAUGGAUAAUAAGAAUAAAUUACCUUAGGGAUAACAGCGUAAUUCUUUUUGAGAGUUCUUAUCGAUGGAAGAGUUUGCGACCUCGAUGUUGGAUUAAAAUAAAUAAUAGGUGUAGCUGCUUAUUUAUUAGGUCUGUUCGACCUUUAAAUUUUUACAUGAUCUGAGUUCAACCCGGAGA
rnacentral:rRNA from 1 species